rnacentral:misc_RNA from 1 species
CCAAGAUGCUGCUGCCCGUCUUCGGCCUGUGUAUUUCAAAGCCAGCAAUAAUAUAUUGGCUUUAUUGGUCUAAAAUAACGUUAAUAAUCAAUCUAAUUAUAAAUCGAAAUAGUAACUUAUUCCUAGCUUAUGUAUCAUUGUUGUUUGCACGUUAACUUCAAAAUAAGCUCUUACGAAAUUGCGUAUUUAUAACUGCAGAGACCUAUUAAUCAAAUUUCUUGCGCCCAUGUGAAAGUUAUCCAGAACGAAUUCCUUUCUUUACGUAUAAAUAUUUAUAUAUAUGGCUAGUAAUAACCUAAAUAUUUAGUGUCAUUUGAUUUGGUAUAGAAGGA